rnacentral:lncRNA from 1 species
GUCGAACCAUAUCUGCAACACUUCGGGGAACAGUGUUACGCCUCGUGAAAUUUCCCACACCGACGCGCCCAUUUCGAACACGGAGUACACCGCCACUAUCGCAUUCGCCGCGAGAACGAACCUGGACGGAUUUCGGUAACUUAAUAUUCAAUUUCCGACACGAAUUUUGAAACAAACGGAUAGAUUAUAUAAAUUAGGUUUGAAAUAGAAAGAAAGUAGUUGUAAGAAGAGUACCUGAAGGUGUCGUAGUGGUACCAGUGAGGAGAAUCGGAGCCGCGAGUAUUGGUGAGCACGAAGACGGAGGAGGCGAGGGAGAAGGAGAAGGAGACGAGGCGUAAAACGAGGAUGAGGGAGUUGAAACGGCGCAGUUUGUGUUCCGCCACCGUGGAGUGGAAGCGAGGGUUGUG